rnacentral:rRNA from 1 species
GAUGAACGCUGGCGGCGUGCCUAAUACAUGCAAGUCGAGCGAACGGACGAGAAGCUUGCUUCUCUGAUGUUAGCGGCGGACGGGUGAGUAACACGUGGAUAACCUACCUAUAAGACUGGGAUAACUUCGGGAAACCGGAGCUAAUACCGGAUAAUAUUUUGAACCGCAUGGUUCAAAAGUGAAAGACGGUCUUGCUGUCACUUAUAGAUGGAUCCGCGCUGCAUUAGCUAGUUGGUAAGGUAACGGCUUACCAAGGCAACGAUGCAUAGCCGACCUGAGAGGGUGAUCGGCCACACUGGAACUGAGACACGGUCCAGACUCCUACGGGAGGCAGCAGUAGGGAAUCUUCCGCAAUGGGCGAAAGCCUGACGGAGCAACGCCGCGUGAGUGAUGAAGGUCUUCGGAUCGUAAAACUCUGUUAUUAGGGAAGAACAUAUGUGUAAGUAACUGUGCACAUCUUGACGGUACCUAAUCAGAAAGCCACGGCUAACUACGUGCCAGCAGCCGCGGUAAUACGUAGGUGGCAAGCGUUAUCCGGAAUUAUUGGGCGUAAAGCGCGCGUAGGCGGUUUUUUAAGUCUGAUGUGAAAGCCCACGGCUCAACCGUGGAGGGUCAUUGGAAACUGGAAAACUUGAGUGCAGAAGAGGAAAGUGGAAUUCCAUGUGUAGCGGCGAAAUGCGCAGAGAUAUGGAGGAACACCAGUGGCGAAGGCGACUUUCUGGUCUGUAACUGACGCUGAUGUGCGAAAGCGUGGGGAUCAAACAGGAUUAGAUACCCUGGUAGUCCACGCCGUAAACGAUGAGUGCUAAGUGUUAGGGGGGUUCCGCCCCUUAGUGCUGCAGCUAACGCAUUAAGCACUCCGCCUGGGGAGUACGACCGCAAGGUUGAAACUCAAAGGAAUUGACGGGGACCCGCACAAGCGGUGGAGCAUGUGGUUUAAUUCGAAGCAACGCGAAGAACCUUACCAAAUCUUGACAUCCUUUGACAACCCUAGAGAUAGAGCUUUCCCCUUCGGGGGACAAAGUGACAGGUGGUGCAUGGUUGUCGUCAGCUCGUGUCGUGAGAUGUUGGGUUAAGUCCCGCAACGAGCGCAACCCUUAAGCUUAGUUGCCAUCAUUAAGUUGGGCACUCUAAGUUGACUGCCGGUGACAAACCGGAGGAAGGUGGGGAUGACGUCAAAUCAUCAUGCCCCUUAUGAUUUGGGCUACACACGUGCUACAAUGGACAAUACAAAGGGCAGCGAAACCGCGAGGUCAAGCAAAUCCCAUAAAGUUGUUCUCAGUUCGGAUUGUAGUCUGCAACUCGACCACAUGAAGCUGGAAUCGCUAGUAAUCGUAGAUCAGCAUGCUACGGUGAAUACGUUCCCGGGUCU